rnacentral:rRNA from 1 species
AGAGUUUGAUCCUGGCUCAGAUUGAACGCUGGCGGCAGGCCUAACACAUGCAAGUCGAACGGCAGCACGGGGGCAACCCUGGUGGCGAGUGGCGAACGGGCGAGUAAUGCAUCGGAACGUGUCCUGUAAUGGGGGAUAACCUAUCGAAAGGUAGGCUAAUACCGCAUACGUCCUGAGGGAGAAAGCAGGGGAUCGCAAGACCUUGCGCUGAUUGAGCGGCCGAUAUCAGAUUAGCUAGUUGGUGAGGUAACGGCCCACCAAGGCAACGAUCUGUAGCGGGUCUGAGAGGAUGAUCCGCCACACUGGGACUGAGACACGGCCCAGACUCCUACGGGAGGCAGCAGUGGGGAAUAUUGCGCAAUGGGGGCAACCCUGACGCAGCCAUGCCGCGUGUGUGAAGAAGGCCUUCGGGUUGUAAAGCACUUUAAGUGGGGAGAAAGGCCCGCUGGUUAAUAGCCAUCGGGAUUGAUGUUACCCACAGAAUAAGCACCGGCUAACUCCGUGCCAGCAGCCGCGGUAAUA